rnacentral:rRNA from 1 species
AACGAACGCUGGCGGCAUGCCUAACACAUGCAAGUCGAACGAGACCUUCGGGUCUAGUGGCGCACGGGUGCGUAACGCGUGGGAACCUGCCCUUAGGUUCGGAAUAACUCCCCGAAAGGGGUGCUAAUACCGGAUAAUGUCUUCGGACCAAAGAUUUAUCGCCUUUGGAUGGGCCCGCGUUGGAUUAGCUAGUUGGUAGGGUAAAAGCCUACCAAGGCGACGAUCCAUAGCUGGUCUGAGAGGAUGAUCAGCCACACUGGGACUGAGACACGGCCCAAACUGCUAGGGGAGGCAGCAGUAGGGAAUAGUGCGCAAUGGGGGACGGAGGGAUGGAGCAAAGCCGCGUGAGUGAUGAAGGUCUUCGGAUCGGAAAACAAUGUUAUUAGGGGAGAAAAUAGGGGUACGUAACUGUGCAGAUCUUGACGGGAAGUAAUCAGAAAGCCAGGGCUAACUACGUG